rnacentral:rRNA from 1 species
UACAGAGGUCUCAAGCGUUGUUCGGAAUUACUGGGCGUAAAGCGCACGUAGGCGGAUAUUUAAGUCAGGGGUGAAAUCCCAGAGCUCAACUCUGGAACUGCCUUUGAUACUGGGUAUCUUGAGUAUGGAAGAGGUGAGUGGAAUUCCGAGUGUAGAGGUGAAAUUCGUAGAUAUUCGGAGGAACACCAGUGGCGAAGGCGGCUCACUGGUCCAUUACUGACGCUGAGGUGCGAAAGCGUGGGGAGCGAACGGG